rnacentral:lncRNA from 10 species
AGGCUCAAAGGAUUCAAAUACUUGCCCAAGGUCCCAGGUUCGUUUGAUUGACAGAGCAUGAGUACCCUCCUAAAUGCCCCUUGAGGUCUCUAUAUUUAGGAGGAAGCAGCUUCAGAACUCUAGCUCCCCACCCCAGGUCCAUUCCAGUUUAGAAACUCCACAGCCACCUCAACAGCAGGAACAAAGGUGGGUCUCUGUCCUGCCUCUGGGGCCAGGCUGGCUGAUGGCUUCAGGCCCAACCAAAAGAUCCCUUCCACCCACCCGACUCUAGCAACACCCACAUCACCAACCCUGGGCCUCCCACCAGAGCCUCCACCUUCUAGGAAGUCACCCUCCCUCCUGCAAGAUGCUGGUGGCUGAGACUGGAGGGACCCUUUCAAUUUCAGGAUAAACAAACUGUCGUUCUGGCCCAGCCCUCUGCCGGCUUGCUGCUUCCCGCCCCCCUCCAUCCGCAGUGCACAGUCGCUCUGUUCUCCUGCCAACUUGGCAGCUCAUCGCUGCUGUUACUAUCAACACCUCCAAGGGAAAAGGGAGAGGAGUCAGCUCUGAUCGCCUGGCGCACUGUGCAGCAAAUUCAUGUCAGAGCCAGCCUUGGAAUGUCUCCCAAGCUCCCAAGGCUCCUGGUGAGGAGGAAAAGGGAUAACCUUAGGUACCUCACUGGGUUACAGCCGAUGGUGAUGAAGACAUGAAGAUGAUGCCUGUGUUCUCCUUGGGAGCCUUUCUCCCAGAUGUGAAACUGAUCCUAAGACCCCCUGUAAUUUCCUGCUGAAAAUCUCCACCAAGAAACACAGCCACAGCCACAGUUCUUCCUGGUAAGAAGCCCCCAGGGCCAGGCAACAAGAAAAGUGAGCUCGUUCAGCAGGCUGGGAUGUAAAUAAGCCACAAGAGGCUGUGCCAUUCUGGGUUGCACCUGUGAGCAUCACUCAGCUGAAGCCCCAUCAGCGUUUCCAUGACAAACUCGUAUUUCCGGAUGCCUUUCUUCCAGCUUGAAGAGCCUGCCUCGUGGUUGUGAAAAGUGAAAAAGAAAAUCUAAAAAAGACAAAUGGAGAAGGAACAGCUAGUGAAGUCAGAGGAAGAUUGGAAGACCCUGGUGUCCUGGAAGCAACUGAAGAAAGUGUUUCAAGAAGAAAGGAGUGAUCACAUGACUUAAAAUGCCACCGAUGGGUCAAAUAAGAACAGAGAAUUGACCAUGGAAUCUGUCAACACAGAAGUCAUCAGUGGCCUUGAUAAAUGUAGUUUCACUGCCAUGUGGGGGAAAAAUGAUGUCAUCAGCUGAAAGUGAGAAGCAAGGAGAACUGCGUGCAGGCCUGAAAAGAAAGGAGGCGUGAUGCAGUCAUCUGCCAGAGGGAGUAGGAGAGGCGACUUGCCUGGGGAAAACAGUGUAGGAUUGCUGGGCAGCAAUAUGGCAGCAAUGUGGUCCUCUGAGGAACGGCCACGUGAGGACACAGCAAGAAAGUAGCCAUCUACAAUUCAGGAAGAGUCUUCACCAGAAACCAAAUUGGACAGAAUCUUGGUCUUAGACUACUAGUCUCCAGAGCUGUGAGAAAAAAAAAAUCCAUGCUCAAGCCACCCACUCUAUAGCAUUUCGUUAUGGCAGCCAAGCUGAUGAGUACAAGCAUCAAAGAACUUGCAGACAUAUUUUAAUGUCACUACAAGGCCCCAGGGUUUAUGUAAGUAUAUUUAUCAUGCUGGACCAUGGAUUAUAAGCUGAGAAGUGAGGGAGGUGACAGCAUGGAGGAAUGCGUGAGUGAAAGGACUGGGGAACCAGUGUGUGGAAGGAAGUUCUCUGAGGGGAAGAGUGUAGGAGUGGGUGUACAAGGGAAGCAAGUUGAACAGAUAUGAGGUAGUGGUCAGAGAAAGCUGCUUGAAAUGGAGAUCUUGGACAUGGCACAGUUACUGCUGGUGAUAAGAUCUAGCAUUAGAUGAUGGGAGUGGGCAGCUGAGGCAGGCAGGGAGGGACAGGUCACUGGUGGUGAGAAGAUUAAUUAACUGGAGGCAGAAUGUUGGAGGGGUCAUCUAAUAGACACGGACCAGGAAUGAUGCUGAGUAUGGUGAUGAACAGACUGAUAGUGAGCCAGGUGCUCAUGUCUUUCACAAAUGGGGGAGUGAUGGGGAGAGAGUAGAUGAUUGCCACAGGGAGCAGUAGCAGGACAGAGCCUGACAGCCAGUGAGACACAAAGGGACAGUCCAGGUUUUAAUUGAGGGGGUGGGAGUUACUACUGGGUUGGCUAUUAAGGAGCCAUAUGCACAACCAAGUUAGGAGGAGAAGCAGAGGAUCUGAGUGCAUGCGUAUGCACACACACACACAAAUGCAUGUGCAUGGCAGAUGGUAAUAGCAUGUAUCUCAUAGGGCUGUUAAAAGGACCAACUGAGCUAAUACUUAGUGCUAAGACAGUGCCUGUGUGGGGUGUUUUCUGACACCAACCAACUCUCCAACAUCAACUGGGUGUCCAGCAAUUCAAUUCAAUUCAGUUCUGACACUACCGGGAGUUAGCAUCAGUUCCCACAAGUUAAAGGGAUCAAUCCCCCCACUUCCAGUGCCAGCUGCAAAUAACAAGCUACCCACACUUCUGCCCAGAUGACUACAAAUUUAGGCAUCCCCACACCACCCCCGAAGAGGUUCAGUAAUUUAUUAGGACAACUUGCAUUUAUUGGUUUAUUAUAAAGGAUACAAAUAAACAGCCAGAUAAAGAGCUACACAGGGCAAGAUCUGAAUGGAUGCCGAGUAUAGAAGCCUCUGUCUUCUGCAUUCACCAACCUUGGAACUCUUUGAAUUUCUUUGUUCAAAAG